rnacentral:rRNA from 1 species
UACGUAGGGUGCAAGCGUUAAUCGGAAUUACUGGGCGUAAAGCGUGCGCAGGCGGUGAUGUAAGACAGAUGUGAAAGCCCCGGGCUUAACCUGGGAAUGGCAUUUGAGACUGCAUAGCUAGGGUGCGGAAGAGGGAAGCGGAAUUUCCGGUGUAGCGGUGAAAUGCGUAGAUAUCGGAAGGAACACCAGUGGCGAAAGCGGCUUCCUGGUCCAGCACCGACGUCAGGCACGAAAGCGUGGGGAGCAAACAGG